AAUCUAAAAACUAGUCUGAAUAUUGAUGAAAUCUAUUCUUAAUAUAUAAUAUAUUUAUUAUGAUAAUAGAAUUUAUUAAAAUUAAAAUAUUUAACCAAAGAUGAUAUUAAAUAUGUUAUUUAUUUAUAUAUUAAACGGAACUUGCCCAAUACAAUAUUAGUAAAUUUAUUAGUACAUAACAAUUGAAAAAAUGUAUUUACAAUAGACUAUUUAAUAUGUUAUAUGAGACACCUUAAAUUGUAAAUUGGUCAGAAAGUUAUAAUCAGAGGAGCAAUUAAUAUAAGCAACGUUGAAUAGAAAGAGAAAGACAACAAAAAUGAAGAUUAUAUCCAGAAUUUAAAACAAUUUAAAGAGUAAAAAACACAGUAGCAAAAGGCUAUCUAGAGCUAAAAGAGUUUCUCUCUUCAAUAUUUUUUGUUAUAAUGAUGUUUAUAAUAUUAAUUUAGUUAAACUGAUGAUAAUUGUGAAUGCUGUGAAGACGGUGGUAACAUUAGAAAAUAUAGCUUACAAUUCUACUUACCAUCACCAAGUUCCUUUAUGAUCUAAGUCUUUCUUGUUAAUUGUUUAUGAUUUUUUAUGUAAUUGUUAAAUUUAUAAUAGAAAUUUUAAGUGAAUUACAUCUGAAAAUUAAAAAUAAAUGUUAUAUGUGUUAUUUACUUAAACUAAAUUUUUUUAUUUGUGUAUCAGUAAAAUCUUUGGUAGUAAUAGUUUUGCUUAAAACAUUUUGAGAAACUAAUGCAUUAAUGAUCAUAUUAACAGGUACAUAUUGUGAUAAUAUGUUUCUGUAAAAGUAAUAUAAAGAU